UGCUCUGUUUUCCUGUUCCAGGGUUCAUCUGAGCCAAGUGCACAGAAGUCAACUGGCAAUCUUUUAACAACCCAACUUUUCUACACAUCUUAUUUCAGCAUGGUACCUGGCAAUCAUUUCAGAAUUGUUGGUUAAAUCUAAAGCAAGAGUAUAUUU